ACUUUUACAUCCUUUACGACAUGUUUAUGUAGUUUGCGGUAAGUGCGACGCCUGGAGAGGAUAUUUUCACCGUGACGUUCCUCAGAGAAAGAUUAUUAAAGACUAACGAUCAAUAAAUGCUGAUUAAUCAGCUGAUGUUGAGGGCAGCAGCACACUGCGGGAGAUGGACAGCUGUCAAUCAAAGCAUCCGGACGAGCUCGGGUAUGGCUGAGUUUCGUGAGAUCUUCUCAAAGGCCCGACACAUUGCCAUCAUCACAGGAGCAGGAGUCAGUGCGGAGAGCGGCGUACCCUCCAUCAGAGGAGCUGAGGGACGCUGGAGGACCUGGAAAACACAGGUCACUCACACACUCUCACACACACACUCACUCACUCGAUCACAC